GACAGAGGGGGCAAGCGUUGCUCGGAAUCACUGGGCGUAAAGGGCGCGUAGGCGGGAUGGCAAGUCGGUCGUGAAAUCCUUCGGCUCAACCGAAGAACGUCGGCCGAUACUGCCGUUCUUUGAGGGGAUGCAGAGGAGAUUGGAAUUCCCGGUGUAGCGGUGAAAUGUGUAGAGAUCAGGAGGAACACCGGUGGCGAAGGCGGGUCUCUGGGCCGAAUAUUGACGCUGAGGAGCGAAAAGCGUGGGGGAGCGAACAGG
rnacentral:rRNA from 1 species